rnacentral:tRNA from 1 species
GCAAUCGUUAGCUCAGUUGGUUAGAACAUGGUGCUAAUAACACCAAGUUCACAGGUUCAAUCCCUGCUUACUGCA